rnacentral:rRNA from 1 species
AUUGAACGCUGGCGGCAUGCCUUACACAUGCAAGUCGAACGGCAGCACGGGUGCUUGCACCUGGUGGCGAGUGGCGAACGGGUGAGUAAUACAUCGGAACAUGUCCUGUAGUGGGGGAUAGCCCGGCGAAAGCCGGAUUAAUACCGCAUACGAUCCACGGAUGAAAGCGGGGGACCUUCGGGCCUCGCGCUAUAGGGUUGGCCGAUGGCUGAUUAGCUAGUUGGUGGGGUAAAGGCCUACCAAGGCGACGAUCAGUAGCUGGUCUGAGAGGACGACCAGCCACACUGGGACUGAGACACGGCCCAGACUCCUACGGGAGGCAGCAGUGGGGAAUUUUGGACAAUGGGCGAAAGCCUGAUCCAGCAAUGCCGCGUGUGUGAAGAAGGCCUUCGGGUUGUAAAGCACUUUUGUCCGGAAAGAAAUCCUUGACUCUAAUACAGUCGGGGGAUGACGGUACCGGAAGAAUAAGCACUGGCUAACUACGUG